UACGUAGGGUGCAAGCGUUAAUCGGAAUACUGGGCGUAAAGCGUGCGCAGGCGGUUAUGUAAGACAGUUGUGAAAUCCCCGGGCUCACCUGGGAACUGCAUCUGUGACUGCAUAGCUAGAGUACGGUAGAGGGGGAUGGAAUUCCGCGUGUAGCAGUGAAAUGCGUAGAUAUGCGGAGGAACACCGAUGGCGAAGGCAAUCCCCUGGACCUGUACUGACGCUCAUGCACGAAAGCGUGGGGAGCAAACGAGG
rnacentral:rRNA from 1 species